AGUGAACGCUGGCGGUAGGCCUAACACAUGCAAGUCGAACGGCAGCACAGUAAGAGCUUGCUCUUACGGGUGGCGAGUGGCGGACGGGUGAGGAAUACAUCGGAAUCUACUUUUUCGUGGGGGAUAACGUAGGGAAACUUACGCUAAUACCGCAUACGACCUACGGGUGAAAGCAGGGGAUCUUCGGACCUUGCGCGAUUGAAUGAGCCGCUGUCGGAUUAGCUAGUUGGCGGGGUAAAGGCCCACCAAGGCGACGAUCCGUAGCUGGUCUGAGAGGAUGGUCAGCCACACUGGAACGGGGACACGGUCCAGACUCCUACGGGAGGCAGCAGUGGGGAAUAUUGGACAAUGGGCGCAAGCCUGAUCCAGCCAUACCGCGUGGGUGAAGAAGGCCUUCGGGUUGUAAAGCCCUUUUGUUGGGAAAGAAAAGCAGCAGGUUAAUACCCCGCUGUUCUGACGGUACCCAAAGAAUAAGCACCGGCUAACUUCGUG
rnacentral:rRNA from 1 species